UACUAACAUCUGCACCAAUUACUCUUAUAGGUGGAACAAUCCAAAGUUUUAAUCAAAGAAGGUGGUAUUCAGUUGCUGCUUACAAUAGUUGAUACCCCAGGAUUUGGAGAUGCAGUGGAUAAUAGUAAUUGCUGGCAGCCUGUUAUCAAUUACAUUGAUAGUAAAUUUGAGGACUACCUAAAUGCAGAAUCGCAAGUGAACAGAUGUCAGAUGCCUGGUAACAGGGUGCACUGUUGUUUAUACUUCAUUGCUCCUUCAGGACAUGGACCGUUACAUAACUGAAGACUCCCACCUUCAGGCAGGAUUGGGUAGUACAUGUUUGUAACUAC
rnacentral:lncRNA from 1 species